AGUGAACGCUGGCGGUAGACCUAACACAUGCAAGUCGAACGGCAGCACAGUAAGAGCUUGCUCUUACGGGUGGCGAGUGGCGGACGGGUGAGGAAUACAUCGGAAUCUACUUUUUCGUGGGGGAUAACGUAGGGAAACUUACGCUAAUACCGCAUACGCCCUACGGGUGAAAGCAGGGGAUCUUCGGACCUUGCGCGAUUGAAUGAGCCGAUGUCGGAUUAGCUAGUUGGCGGGGUAAAGGCCCACCAAGGCGACGAUCCGUAGCUGGUCUGAGAGGAUGAUCAGCCACACUGGAACUGAGACACGGUCCAGACUCCUACGGGAGGCAGCAGUGGGGAAUAUUGGACAAUGGGCGCAAGCCUGAUCCAGCCAUACCGCGUGGGUGAAGAAGGCCUUCGGGUUGUAAAGCCCUUUUGUUGGGAAAGAAAAGCAGCAGGUUAAUACCCCGCUGUUCUGACGGUACCCAAAGAAUAAGCACCGGCUAACUUCGUG
rnacentral:rRNA from 1 species